rnacentral:rRNA from 1 species
UACGAAGGGGGCUAGCGUUGCUCGGAAUGACUGGGCGUAAAGGGCGCGUAGGCGGAUGGCACAGUCAGAUGUGAAAUUCCCGGGCUUAACCUGGGGGCUGCAUUUGAUACGUGUUGUCUUGAGUUCGGAAGAGGGUCGUGGAAUUCCCAGUGUGAGAGGUGAAAUUCGUAGAUAUUGGGAAGAACACCGGUGGCGAAGGCGGCGACCUGGUCCGACACUGACGCUGAGGCGCGAAAGCGUGGGGAGCAAACAGG